rnacentral:rRNA from 1 species
UAAGCGUGCGCAGGCGGUUUUGUAAGACUGUCGUGAAAUCCCCGGGCUCAACCUGGGAAUGGCGAUGGUGACUGCAAGGCUAGAGUUUGGCAGAGGGGGGUAGAAUUCCACGUGUAGCAGUGAAAUGCGUAGAUAUGUGGAGGAACACCGAUGGCGAAGGCAGCCCCCUGGGUCAAAACUGACGCUCAUGCACGAAAGCGUGGGGAGCAAACAGGAUUAGAUACCCCAGU